rnacentral:rRNA from 2 species
UACGUAGGGGGCGAGCGUUGUCCGAAGUUACUGGGCGUAAAGCGCGCGUAGGCGGUCAUUUAAGUCUGAGGUGAAAGGUUCAGCGCUCAACGUGAACAGUGCCUUGGAUACUGGGUGACUUGAGUUCGGGAGGGGGCAGUGGAAUUCCAGGUGUAGCGGUGAAAUGCGUAGAUAUCUGGAGGAACACCGAUGGCGAAGGCAGCUGCCUGGCCCAGAACUGACGCUGAGGUGCGAAAGCGUGGGGAGCGAACGGG